GCUGUAGCGUUCAGGAUUAAAAACCCAACAUGUAUUUCACUUAAAUAGGGGGAGAAAUUACAUGUUAUUGCUAGGAAACAGAGAGAAUUCUAAUAGGCUUAUAGCAAACAAAAAUGCAGUACUUGAGGUUAAAUCCUGGAGUCUAAAGCAGCUUCUGAUCAUGCUUAACCCUUGCAGGAUGAAGAAAGCAGGGACACUUCAGAUUCAGAUCCUGAAGCAACAUCCAGCUCAGAGGAGAAGUUAAAAGCGUAAUGCUCCAAGGCGCUGCUCCUCGGCUCGCCCGGGCAGGAGCACGGGUGCCUACGCGGCACGCUGACAAAGGCACCUGUUGUGAGAGCUGCCUUCCCCAAGGAGCAGGAGCACAGUCCCUCACGCGACAUAUUUUGAAAGCAUACCUCCAAAGCAGCAAUUUUUGGAGAAACGGUUCACCUGAGCAGUCAAGAUGACGGAGGAGAGCUCACAGAAGGACAGCAGUGACCAGUAUCAACUGUUUCCAACACAACCAGCAGUGAAAGAGACUUCAUACAGAGUCAAACACUGUGAAUCCCAAAAUGAAGCCACCUUCUCUCCUCACCCAAGGAGGGCCAGCUGACCAUCGGAGCACAGCGAACACCGCAGCUUUUCAGCCCGCAUGGAAGUUACCUGUGGUCCCACCUGAAGCCCCCUUGUCGCAGCUGAUCAAGCACGGGUCGCGUUGCUGCCCCCGACAAGUCUCUGCUGCGCCCAUCUAGCAGCCAGAUGAAACCUCUGUGUUGGGACACAAGGUGGGGAGCAGCUGCCUGCCCUCCACAAGGGUGGCAAUCCCCCGGAUUAAGCAGCAAAU